rnacentral:rRNA from 1 species
GAAUGCUUGGUUUUGGGAGUUUAUAUUCUCUGGGUGCCGUCGUUAACGCUUUUAGCAUUCCGCCUGGGGAGUACGCUCGCACGAGUGAAACUCAAAGGAAUUGACGGGGGCUCACACAAGCGGUGGAGGAUGUGGCUUAAUUCGAGGCUACGCGAAGAACCUUAUCCAGGCCUUGACAUGUUCGGAUGCUGCCCGUGAAAGCGGGUUAGUUGCCUUCGGGUGAAACGUUCACAGGUGCUGCAUGGCUGUCGUCAGCUCGUGUCGUGAGAUGUCGGGUUAAGUCCCUUAACGAGCGAAACCCUUGUCCCUAGUUGCCAGCGAGUCAUGUCGGGGACUCUAGGGAGACUGCCGGUGUUAAACCGGAGGAAGGUGGGGAUGACGUCAAGUCCUCAUGGCCUUUAUGGUCUGGGCUGCACACGUCCUACAAUGGCAUGUACAAAGGGAAGCAACCUCGCGAGAGCAAGCAAAUCCCAGAAAGCAUGCCCCAGUUCGGAUUGCAGGCUGCAACUCGCCUGCAUGAAGCCGGAAUCGCUAGUAAUCGUGGAUCAGCAUGCCACGGUGAAUAUGUUCCUGAGCCUUGUACACACCGCCCGUCAAGCCACGAAAGUGGGGAGGGCUUAAAGUCGCUGAGCUAACUUCGGAAGCAGGCGCCUAGAGUCAACUCCGCGAUUGGGACUAAGUCGUAACAAGGUAGCCGUA